GCCGGGCGUGGUGGUACAUGCCUGUAGUCCCAGUUACUCAGGAGGCUGAGGCAGGAGGAUUACUUGAGCCCAGGAGGUUGAGGCUGCAGUGAGCUGUGAUUCUGCCACUGCACUCAACCUGGGAAACAGAGUGAGACCCUGUCUCCA
ensembl:misc_RNA Metazoa_SRP Metazoan signal recognition particle RNA